GGUGAACGCUGGCGGCGGGCCUAACACAUGCAAGUCGAGCGGAAGCACAGUAAGAGCUUUCCCUUACUGUUAGCGAGGGGCGGGCGGGUAAGGCAUGCAUCACAUUCUACUAAUUCGGGGAGAAUAACGGAGGGAAACUUACGCUAAUACCGCAUACGACCUACGGGUGAAAUCAGGAGAUCAUCGCACUCUGGCCGUUUCUAAGAGCCGAAGCCGGAUUAGCUAGUUGGCGUGGUAAAGGCCCACCAAGGCGACGAUCCGUAGCUGGUCUGAGAGGAUGAUCAGCCACACUGGAACUGAGACACGGUCCAGACUCCUACGGGAGGCAGCAGUGGGGAAUCUUGGGCAAUGGGCGCAAGCCUGAUGCAGCAAUACCGCGUGAGUGAAGAAGGCCUUCGGGUUGUAAAGCCCUUUUGUUAGGAAAGAAAAGCUGCGUGAUUAUCUCCCGCUAUUCUGACGGUACCCAAAGAAUAAGCCCCGGCUAACUUCGUG
rnacentral:rRNA from 1 species